rnacentral:tRNA from 1 species
GGGCAAUUAGCUUAGCUGGUAGAGCAUCUCGUUUACACCGAGGAGGUCGUCAGUUCGAAUCUGUCAUUGCCCA